UGGUGGAGUGAUUUGUCUGGUUAAUUCCGUUAACGAACGAGACCUCAGCCUGCUUUUGUAGUCGGCCGUAUCCCAGUUCACGUUGGGAUACGCGUUUUCCAACUUCUUAGAGGGACUAUCGAUGUGCAGUCGAUGGAAGUUUGAGGCAAUAACA
rnacentral:rRNA from 1 species